GACGAACGCUGGCGGCGUGCUUAACACAUGCAAGUCGAACGGAAAGGCCCUGCUUUUGUGGGGUGCUCGAGUGGCGAACGGGUGAGUAACCCGUGAGUAACCUGUCCUUGACUUUGGGAUAACUUCAGGAAACUGGGGCUAAUACCGGAUAGGAGCUCCUGCCGCUUGGUGGGGGCUGGUUAGUUUCGCCGGUUGGGGAUGGACUCGCCGCCUAUCAGCUUGUUGGUGGGGUAGUGGCUUACCAAGGCUAUGACGGGUAGCCGGGCUGGGCGGGGAGGCGGACACAUUGGAAUGGGAAUGCGGCACAGCCUACUACGGGAGGCAACGGAGGAGUAGAGUGUAUAGUAGGCGGGAGGCUGGUGCGGCAAAGCCGCGUGGGGGAUGACGGCAAGCGGGUAGUGUUCUGCUUUCGCCUGACACGGGGCGUGAAUGACGGUAAUGGGUAAAGAAGCACCGGCUAACUACGUG
rnacentral:rRNA from 1 species